rnacentral:lncRNA from 1 species
AGCGUGCAGCUCCCCACCCCUGCCUGUGCAGAGCUGAUAAGCUUGGGGCAGGGGAAGGGACCUGUUUGUGGCUCCUGCUCCUCCUCUGAGUUGCAUGGGCCUCCAGUCAACUGCUUAUCCUGCCACAGGCUGGACUGCCACCAGCUGCAAAUAGGCCUUGAGGAACCAGCUCCAAUCCACGGCUUCCAGGGAUGAGGAAUGAAGGAAAGGAGCCAGCAGGUGGCUGAAGAGUGAACAGAACUGGACAAACGCAGAGCAAUUAAAUAAGAGUGCCAUCACUGAUUAUGGUCAGUAGAGGGCAGCAGCAUCCA